CAUGAAGGUCUUUGCCCGUUCAUC
rnacentral:siRNA from 1 species